rnacentral:rRNA from 1 species
UUGGGUAGUAUCAGUUAUUUUCUAAAAACCUAAAAGAUUUGGCGGUAUUUUAUUCUGUUUAGAGGAAUGUGUUUUUGUAUCGAUAAUCCACGAUUAUCUUACUUAUUUUUAUUUAUUAAAUAUUUUGUAUAUCUCCGUCAUCGAUUUUUUUAUAAAAAAAUUUUCUUUUAUAUUUGUGUUAAAAUGAAAUGUCAGGUCAAGGUGCAGAUUAUAAAUAAGUUAAAAUGCAUUACAUUUAAAUUAAAAUUGUUGAAUGGUUUUUUGAAUGAGGAAUUUGAAAUUGGAUUUAAGAGUAAAUUUAAUAAAUUUUAUUAGUUUGAAUAU